UUUCCGUAGGUGAACCUGCGGAAGGAUCAUUACUGAGUGAGGGCCCCUCGGGGUCCAACCUCCCACCCGUGUUUAACGAACCUUGUUGCUUCGGCGGGCCCGCCUCACGGCCGCCGGGGGGCAUCUGCCCCCGGGCCCGCGCCCGCCGAAGCCACCUGUGAACGCUGUCUGAAGUAUGCAGUCUGAGACAAUUAUUAAAUUAAUUAAAACUUUCAACAACGGAUCUCUUGGUUCUG
rnacentral:misc_RNA from 1 species